rnacentral:rRNA from 1 species
GACGAACGCUGGCGGCGUGCUUAACACAUGCCAGUCGAACGGAAAGGCCCUGCUUUUGUGGGGUGCUCGAGUGGCGAACGGGUGAGUAACACGUGAGUAACCUGCCCUUGACUUUGGGAUAACUUCAGGAAACUGGGGCUAAUACCGGAUAGGAGCUCCUGCUGCAUGGUGGGGGUUGGAAAGUUUCGGCGGUUGGGGAUGGACUGGCGGCUUAUCAGCUUGUUGGUGGGGUAGUGGCUUACCAAGGCUUUGACGGGUAGCCGGCCUGAGAGGGUGACCGGCCACCUUGGGACUGAGAUACGGCGCAGACUCCUACGGGAGGCAGCAGUGGGGAAUAUUGCACAAUGGGCGGAAGCCUGAUGCAGCAACGCCGCGUGCGGGAUGACGGCCUUCGGGUUGUAAACCGCUUUCGCCUGUGACGAAGCGUGAGUGACGGUAAUGGGUAAAGAAGCACCGGCUAACUACGUG